AAUGGUGUUUAAGGCAAGGGUGAACACCUCUUCCCAUCCCGAACAGAGCCGUUAAGCCCCUUUGCGCCGAUGGUACUGCGGUCAAACGCGGAAGAGUAGGUCAAUGCCAGGU
rnacentral:rRNA from 1 species